AGAUUAAGUUAUUAAGGGCGCACGGUGGAUGCCUUGGCACUAGAAGCCGAUGAAGGACGUUACUAACGACGAUAUGCUUUGGGGAGCUGUAAGUAAGCUUUGAUCCAGAGAUUUCCGAAUGGGGAAACCCAGCAUGAGUUAUGUCAUGUUAUCGAUAUGUGAAUACAUAGCAUAUCAGAAGGCACACCCGGAGAACUGAAACAUCUUAGUACCCGGAGGAAGAGAAAGAAAAUUCGAUUCCCUUAGUAGCGGCGAGCGAAACGGGAAGAGCCCAAACCAACAAGCUUGCUUGUUGGGGUUGUAGGACACUCUAUACGGAGUUACAAAGGACGACAUUAGACGAAUCAUCUGGAAAGAUGAAUCAAAGAAGGUAAUAAUCCUGUAGUCGAAAAUGUUGUCUCUCUUGAGUGGAUCCUGAGUACGACGGAGCACGUGAAAUUCCGUCGGAAUCUGGGAGGACCAUCUC
rnacentral:rRNA from 1 species